GACGAACCGUGCGAACGUUGUUCGGAAUCACUGGGCUUAAAGGGCGCGUAGGCGGGCCGUCGAGUCCGGGGUGAAAGCCCCCAGCUUAACUGGGGAAGUGCCUCGGAUACCGGCGGCCUCGAGGGAGGUAGGGGCGUGCGGAACUUCCGGUGGAGCGGUGAAAUGCGUAGAUAUCUGGAGGAACACCGGUGGCGAAGGCGG
rnacentral:rRNA from 1 species